rnacentral:rRNA from 1 species
UGGCGACCAUAGCAAGAGUGAACCACCUGAUCCCUUCCCGAACUCAGAAGUGAAACAUCUUAGCGCUGAUGGUAGUGUGGGAUUACCCAUGUGAGAGUAAGUCAUCGCCAGCUC